CCUACGGGUGGCAGCAGUGAGGAAUAUUGGUCAAUGGACGAGAGUCUGAACCAGCCAAGUAGCGUGAAGGAUGACGGCACUAUGUGUUGUAAACUUCUUUUGUAAAGGAAUAAAACGAGGCACGUGUGCCUUUUUGCAUGUACUUUAUGAAUAAGGAUCGGCUAACUCCGUGCCAGCAGCCGCGGUAAUACGGAGGAUUCGAGCGUUAUCCGGAUUUAUUGGGUUUAAAGGGUGCGUAGAGGGGUUGGUAAGUCAGUAGUGAAAGUUUGCGGCUCAACCGUAACACUGCAAUUGAUACUGGCAUUCUUGAGUACACUUGAGGUAGGCGGAAUGCGUGGUGUAGCGGUGAAAUGCAUAGAUAUCACGAAGAACCCCGAUUGCGAAGGCAGCUUACUAAACUGUGACUGACAUUGAUGCACGAAAGUGUGGGUAUCAAACAGGAUUAGAUACCCUUGUAGUC
rnacentral:rRNA from 1 species